GACGAAGGAUGCAAGCGUUAUCCGGAUUCAUUGGGUUUAAAGGGCGCGUAGGCGGCCCGCUAAGUCGAACGUGAAAUCCCCGAGCUCAACUCGGGAACUGCGUCCGAUACUGGCGGGCUUGAAUCCGGGAGAGGGAUGCGGAAUUCCAGGUGUAGCGGUGAAAUGCGUAGAUAUCUGGAGGAACACCGGUGGCGAAGGCGGCAUCCUGGACCGGCAUUGACGCUGAGGCGCGAAAGCUAGGGGAGCAAACGGG
rnacentral:rRNA from 1 species